rnacentral:rRNA from 1 species
GAUGAACGCUGGCGGCGUGCUUAACACAUGCAAGUCGAACGGGAAGGCCCAAGCUUGCUUGGGUACUCGAGUGGCGAACGGGUGAGUAACACGUGGGUGAUCUGCCCUGCACUUCGGGAUAAGCCUGGGAAACUGGGUCUAAUACCGGAUAGGACCACUUCUUGGAUGUUGUGGUGGAAAGUUUUUUCGGUGUGGGAUGAGCUCGCGGCCUAUCAGCUUGUUGGUGGGGUAAUGGCCUACCAAGGCGUCGACGGGUAGCCGGCCUGAGAGGGUGUACGGCCACAUUGGGACUGAGAUACGGCCCAGACUCCUACGGGAGGCAGCAGUGGGGAAUAUUGCACAAUGGGCGCAAGCCUGAUGCAGCGACGCCGCGUGGGGGAUGACGGCCUUCGGGUUGUAAACUCCUUUCGCUAGGGACGAAGCGUUUUGUGACGGUACCUGGAGAAGAAGCACCGGCUAACUACGUG